rnacentral:rRNA from 1 species
AGUGAACGCUGGCGGUAGGCCUAACACAUGCAAGUCGAACGGCAGCACAGGAGAGCUUGCUCUCUGGGUGGCGAGUGGCGGACGGGUGAGGAAUACAUCGGAAUCUACUCGGUCGUGGGGGAUAACGUAGGGAAACUUACGCUAAUACCGCAUACGACCUACGGGUGAAAGCAGGGGAUCUUCGGACCUUGCGUGAUUGAAUGAGCCGAUGUCGGAUGAGGUAGUUGGCGGGGGAAAGGCCCACCAAGGCGACGAUCCGGAGCGGGUCUGAGAGGAUGAUCAGCCACACUGGAACUGAGACACGGUCCAGACUCCUACGGGAGGCAGCAGUGGGGAAUAUUGGACAAUGGGCGCAAGCCUGAUCCAGCCAUACCGCGUGGGUGAAGAAGGCCUUCGGGUUGUAAAGCCCUUUUGUUGGGAAAGAAAUCCAGCCGGCUAAUAACCGGUUGGGAUGACGGUACCCAAAGAAUAAGCACCGGCUAACUUCGUGCCAGCCGCCGCGGUAA